UAGCUGUCGAGCGCAGGAAGUUAUCUGAUCCUCUUUUAGAGGUGACGAUAAUGGAAUGAGCGGCGGACGGGUGAGUAACACGUAGGCAACCUGCCUGUAAGACUGGGAUAACUCGUGGAAACGCGAGCUAAUACCGGAUAACACUUUUCAUCUCCUGAUGAGAAGUUGAAAGGCGGCUUUUGCUGUCACUUACAGAUGGGCCUGCGGCGCAUUAGCUAGUUGGUAAGGUAAUGGCUUACCAAGGCGACGAUGCGUAGCCGACCUGAGAGGGUGAUCGGCCACACUGGGACUGAGACACGGCCCAGACUCCUACGGGAGGCAGCAGUAGGGAAUCUUCCGCAAUGGACGAAAGUCUGACGGAGCAACGCCGCGUGAGUGAUGAAGGUUUUCGGAUCGUAAAACUCUGUUGUUAGGGAAGAACAAGUGCCAUAGUAACUGAUGGCACCUUGACGGUACCUAACCAGAAAGCCACGGCUAACUACGUGCCAGCAGCCGCGGUAAUACGUAGGUGGCAAGCGUUGUCCGGAAUUAUUGGGCGUAAAGCGCUCGCAGGCGGUUCUUUAAGUCUGAUGUGAAAUCUUACGGCUCAACCGUAAACGUGCAUUGGAAACUGGGGAACUUGAGUGCAGAAGAGGAGAGUGGAAUUCCACGUGUAGCGGUGAAAUGCGUAGAGAUGUGGAGGAACACCAGUGGCGAAGGCGACUCUCUGGUCUGUAACUGACGCUGAGGAGCGAAAGCGUGGGGAGCGAACAGGAUUAGAUACCCUGGUAGUCCACGCCGUAAACGAUGAGUGCUAGGUGUUAGGGGUUUCCGCCCCUUAGUGCUGAAGUUAACGCAUUAAGCACUCCGCCUGGGGAGUACGGCCGCAAGGCUGAAACUCAAAAGAAUUGACGGGGCCCGCACAAGCGGUGGGAGCAUGGUGGUUUAAU
rnacentral:rRNA from 1 species